UUACGGCCAUAUCUCGUUAAAACACAGGUUCCCGUACGACCAUCGAAGUUAAGGGACGUCAAGCCUGGUCAGUACCUAGACGGGUGACCGCUUGGGAAUACCAAGUGUUGUAAG